rnacentral:rRNA from 1 species
GACAGAGGGUGCAAACGUUGUUCGGAAUUACUGGGCGUAAAGCGCGUGUAGGCGGCUAAGUAAGUCGGGCGUGAAAGCCCCCGGCUCAACCGGGGAACUGGCACCGAAACGCCCCGUCUCGAGGGACGUAGGGGGACCUGGAACUUCCGGUGGAGCGGUGAAAUGCGUUGAGAUCGGAAGGAACGCCCGUGGCGAAAGCGAGGUCCUGGACGUCUACUGACGCUGAGACGCGAAAGCUAGGGGAGCGAACGGG